CACAGAAUUUUUCUUUCGUUUCUUGCUCGGAUUUCCCUUCUACUCUUUUCGCAGAGAUGGAAAGCCAUGGCAGCACCUCGUGUAGCAGCAGCAACAACACCAACAAGGAGCAAUGGAGAGCGGAAGACGCCAUAGCCGGCAACGCCGAAGCUCUCCGAGCUCUCAGAGAACUCAUCAUCUACCCUCUCCUCUAUUCCCGUCAAGCCCAAAAGCUCGGUCUCAAAUGGCCUCGGGGUUUGCUCCUCUACGGCCCUCCCGGCACCGGAAAGACAAGCUUGGUACGAGCUGUGGUUAGGGAAUGUGGUGCACAUUUAAUUGUCAUUAGUCCACAUUCUGUCCACAAAGCACAUGCCGGAGAAAGUGAGAAAUUUUUACGGGAGGCUUUUGCAGAGGCUUCCUCACGUACAUUGUCAGGCAAGCCAUCUGUUAUCUUUAUAGAUGAAAUAGAUGCACUCUGUCCUCGCCGUGAUUCUAGAAGAGAGCAAGAUGUUCGUAUUGCCUCGCAACUCUUUACGCUGAUGGACUCCAAGACAUCCUCAGCAUCAGUACCACAGGUUGUGGUUGUUGCAUCCACCAACAGAGCCGAAGCAAUCGAUCCAGCACUCAGAAGGUCUGGGCGGUUUGAUGUUGAAGUUGAAGUUACUACACCUAUGGAAGAAGAACGCUUUCAAAUUCUAAAGCUCUACACAAGAAAAGUUCCUUUGGAUCCCAAUGUUGAUCUACAAGGCAUAGCUGCAUCUUGCAAUGGAUUUGUUGGGGCGGACCUGGAAGCUUUAUGUCGUGAGGCUGCUAUGUCUGCAAUUAAAAGACAUUCAGACGCAAAUAAAGAUGCUCGUGCGUUUAGCUUAACAAUAGAAGACUGGAAGCAUGCAAGGUCUGUGGUUAGUCCAAGUAUAACAAGAGGUGUCACAGUGGAAGUUCCCAAGGUGACAUGGGAAGACAUAGGAGGGUUGAAUGAUUUAAAGAAAAAGCUCCAGCAAGCUGUUGAGUGGCCCAUUAAAUAUGCUUCUGUGUUUUCAAGGCUGGGAAUAUCACCCAUGCGUGGAAUUCUUCUUUAUGGUCCUCCGGGAUGCUCGAAAACCACUCUUGCUAAAGCCGCUGCACAUGCUGCCCAAGCUUCGUUUUUUUCUUUGAGUGGUGCAGAAUUGUUUUCAAUGUACGUUGGAGAGGGUGAAGCUUUGCUGCGUAAUACCUUUCGGAGAGCUCGCCUUGCAGCACCCAGCAUAGUAUUCUUUGAUGAGGCGGAUGUUGUUGCUGCCAAAAGAGGUGGGAGUUCAAGCAACAGCAGUACUGUUGGAGAAAGGCUUCUUUCUACUUUGCUGACCGAAAUGGAUGGUUUAGAAGAGGCUAAGGGAGUCUUUGUUUUGGCUGCUACAAACCGUCCUCAUGCAAUUGAUGCUGCACUAGUUCGCCCUGGACGCUUUGAUUUGGUGCUCUUUGUACAACCACCAGAUUUAGAAGGUCGAUAUGAGAUACUUCGGGUACAUACUCGUAACAUGAGAGUAGGAGAUGAUGUUGAUCUCAAACGCAUAGCAAAAGAUACUGAGCACUUCACAGGAGCGGAGCUGGAGGGUCUAUGCAGGGAAGCAGGAAUAGUAGCUCUGAGGGAAGACAUAUCAGCCACUGUUGUUUGUAAUCGUCAUUUCCAGACUGCAAAAGAUUCGUUAAAGCCAGCAUUAACGAAAGCAGAUGUCGAUUCAUAUUUGGCUUUUGGUAUUGCUUAAGAAUCGAGUGCCAAGUAUUUCAAUUGCAAAAGGAUUUCUUACUCAACAUAGAAAGAGGAUAUGUGCAACUUUCUGUUGCUGGUGCUGAAGCGUUGGCUUUGAAGUGUGGCUGUGAAUUGGGUCUCUCAUUGGGUUUGAUCUAUGUUGUUGUUGAAUCUGAUUCUCAGGCAACCAUUUCAUGUUUGUGGGGAACAAUCUCUGAUGGUAGAUGGGGGGCUUUUCCUAUUUUAGCGAAGUGUUUGAAGCUUGGGAAAGCCUUUCAGGACCGUCGCUGGUCUUGAAUUCCAAGAUCAGCCAAUUUGGCGGCUGACCAUUUGGCGUCGCGUAGAUGUGUGGAGAUGUGUGAUGUGUCUUGGGUUGAUCUACCCCCAUCUUUGUUAGUGCAUGUACUGAAUAAUGAUGGUUUACCAUGCCUGCCUUAAUUUUGUGUUGGGGGUGCAAAGGGGGACAUUUCGAGGGUUUUCUACCCCCUUGUACUUCAUGUCUGUUUUAUGGUUGUUUGCCUAUUGUUUGGCUUUCAUUGUUGUCUUUGGCAUCUCUUGCCCUGGUUAAUUCAUUGUCAUUUUUUGUA